ACUGGUUGAUUCUGCCAGUAGUCAUUGCUUGUCUCAAGAUUAAGCAUGCAUGUCUAAGUAUAGCAAUUAUACAGCGAAACUGCGAAUGGCUCAUUAUAUAGUUAUCGUUUAUUUGAUAGUACUUACUACUUGGAUAACGUGGUAUUCUAGAGCUAUACAUGCUAAAAUCCGACUUCGGAAGGAUGUAUUAUUAGAUUAAAACCAAUGCCUCGGGCUCACUGUGAUUCAUGAUAACUCCUCGAAUCGCAUGGCUUGCGCGGCGAUGGUUCAUUCAAUUUCUUCCUAUCAACUUUCGAUGUUUGGGUAUUGGCAACAUGGUUGCAACGGUAACGGAGGUUAGGCUCGACCCGGAGAAGGAGCCUGAGAACGGCUACUAAUCAAGGAAGGCAGCAGGCGCGCAAUUACCAAUCCGACACGGGAGGUAGUGACAUAAUACUGAUACAGGGCUCUUUUGGGUCUUGUAAUUGGAAUGAGUACAUUUAAAUCCUUAACGAGAACAUUGGAGGCAAGUCUGGUGCCAGCAGCCGCGGUAAUUCCAGCUCCAAUAGCGUAUAUUAAGUUGUUGUGGUUAAAAGCUCGUAGUUGAACUUGGCCUGGCUGGCCGGUCCGCCUCACGCGUGUACUGGUCCGGCGGGCUUUCCUCUGUGGACCCAUGCCUUCACUGGCGUGGCGGGAACAGGACUUUUACUGUGAAAAAUUAGAGUGCUCAGGCAGGCUAUGCUCGAAUACAUUAGCAUGGAAUAAUAGAAUAGACGUGUGGUUCUAUUUGUUGGUUUCUAGGACCGCCGUAAUGAUUAAUAGGGACAGUCGGGGCAUCAGUAUUCAAUUGUCAGAGGUGAAAUUCUUGGAUUUAUUGAGACUAACUACUGCGAAGCAUUUGCAAGGAUGUUUUCAUUAAUCAGGAACGAAGUUAGGGAUCGAGACGAUCAGAUACGUCGUAGUCUUAACCAUAACUAUGCGACUAGGAUCGGACGGUGUUAUUUUUGACCGUUCGGCACCUUACGAGAAUCAAAGUGCUUGGGCUCCAGGGGAGUAUGGUCGCAAGGCUGAACUUAAAGAAAUUGACGGAAGGCACACCAGGGUGGAGCUGCGGCUUAAUUUGACUCAACACGGGAACUCACCAGGUCCAGACACAUGAGGAUUGACAGAUUGAGAGCUCUUUCUUGAUUUUGUGGGUGGUGGUGCAUGGCCGUUCUUAGUUGGUGGAGUGAUUUGUCUGCUUAAUUGCGAUAACGAACGAGACUUAACUGCUAAUAGCCGUAUUGCUCUGGCAGUACGCUGGCUUCUUAGAGGACUAUCGGCUCAAGCCGAUGGAAGUUUGAGGCAUAACAGGUCUGUGAUGCCUUAGAUGUUCUGGGCCGCACGCGCGCUACACUGACGGAGCAGCGAGUACUUCCUUGUCCGAAAGGUCGGGUAAUCUUGUUAAACUCCGUCGUGCUGGGAUAGAGCAUUGCAAUUAUUGCUCUUCAACGAGGAAUCCUAGUAAGCGCAAGUCAUCAGCUUGCGUUGAUUACGUCCUGCCUUUGUACACACGCCGUCGCUACUACCGAUUGAAUGGCUCAGUGAGGCGUCCGGACUGGCCAGAGUGGUGGGCAACUACGCUCAGGCGGAAGCUCUCCAAACUCGGUCAUUUAGAGGAAGUAAAAGUCGUAACAAGGUCUCCGUUGGUGAACAGCGGAGG
rnacentral:rRNA from 1 species